rnacentral:rRNA from 1 species
UACGGAGGGUGCAAGCGUUAUCCGGAUUCACUGGGUUUAAAGAGUGCGUAGGUGGGUUGGUAAGUCGGUGGUGAAAUCUCCGAGCUUAACUUGGAAACUGCCAUUGAUACUAUCAGUCUUGAAUACCGUGGAGGUUAGCGGAAUAUGUCAUGUAGCGGUGAAAUGCUUAGAUAUGACAUAGAACACCAAUUGCGAAGGCAGCUCGCUAAACUGUAACUGACGCUGAGGCACGAAAGCGUGGGUAGCAAACAGG